GAAAAGCGAGAGAAGGGUAUACAGGGAAUGCCUAGGCUUUUGGAGGCUACGAAGGACGCGACAAGCGGCGAAACGCUCUGGGGAGGUGCACAUGACCUUUGAUCCGGAGGUAUCCGAAUGAGACAACUCAGCAUAUUGAAGAUAUGUUUAUAUAGCCAACCCGGGGAACUGAAACAUCUAAGUACCUGGAGGAAAAGAAAACAAUAGUGAUUCCGCAAGUAGUGGCGAGCGAACGCGGAAGAGUCCAAACCAGUUGAGUUCCGGCUUGACUGGGGUUGUAGGACCUCGAUAAUCGAUUUAACAUGAACUGGAAGACACUGGAAAGUGUUGCCGCAGAGGGUGAUAGUCCCGUACAGGUAAGUGUUAUUGAGAGCGAGAGUUCCUGAGUAAGUGGGGGCCGGUGAAACCCCCAUUGAAUCCGGCGGCACCAUCCGCCAAGACUAAAUACUCCCAAAAGACCGAUAGUGAACAAGUACCGUGAGGGAAAGGUGAAAAGUACCGUGAAUAACGGGGUGCAAUAGAUCCUGAAACUGUAUACCUACAAGCGGACGGAGCUACUUCGUGUAGUGACGUCGUGCCUUUUGCAUAAUGAGCCUACGAGUUACCUAUAUUAGCAAGAUUAAGG
rnacentral:rRNA from 1 species